rnacentral:lncRNA from 1 species
GAAAUUCUAGCUGUGUCCAUUACUAACUAUGAGGUUCUCACCUUGUUGCCAGGAGUAUUGCAGGUAAUACAGUAUAUUCAUAAGAGUAUCAAUCUUGGGGCUAAAAUGCCUUGAUUCUUUGCACCUCUUUUAAAAGUCCUUACGUUGAAUUACUAAUUGAUAAGCAGCAGCUUCCUACACCUAACCGGAGACUGCCAUGUUUUUGCUCUCAUGAUUGGCUGGGCCUGCUGCUGUUCCUGGUUCUAAAGACUUUCAUGUUGUUAUUUCUGCAUCUUCACAAGUGGUCUCUAAGGUUUGUUGGAAGAAUAAAAUGAGGUACCUGUGAGAAAGCUCUAAAACCAUGGAAGUAUAUAGGUAGUACUUUGAGAUCUCAUAAAGGGAGUGUAUGUAUGGCAUCACUGAUCGUGCCUGUCUGGGAGAUGCUGAGCAGUAUGUCUAAGACCUAAAUGAACCCAGAGGAUUCUCAACUCAGUAUGACCCACCAUCGCUUUUCUGUUUCCCUGAACCACUUUUAUUUCGUUACCUAAUUAAAGAAACAAAUUGCCUAA